UGGGGAAUAUUGCGCAAUGGGCGAAAGCCUGACGCAGCGACGCCGCGUGAGGGAUGAAGGUUUUCGGAUCGUAAACCUCUGUCAGAAGGGAAGAAACCGCACUGUGCUAAUCAGCAGUGCCUUGACGGUACCUUCAAAGGAAGCACCGGCUAACUCCGUGCUAGCAGCCGCGGUAAUACGGAGGGUGCAAGCGUUAAUCGGAAUUACUGGGCGUAAAGCGCACGUAGGCUGCUUUGUAAGUCAGGGGUGAAAUCCCACGGCUCAACCGUGGAACUGCCUUUGAUACUGCUUAGCUUGAAUCCGGGAGAGGGUGGCGGAAUUCCAGGUGUAGGAGUGAAAUCCGUAGAUAUCUGGAGGAACAUCAGUGGCGAAGGCGGCCACCUGGACCGGUAUUGACGCUGAGGUGCGAAAGCGUGGGGAGCAAACAGG
rnacentral:rRNA from 1 species